CAUGCAUGGAGCAGGAAUGUAGAAGCUGCUGUAUCUAGACCCCAAGGGGCAGAGGUGAGACCCAAGCACUUGCCUAAGCAAGUGGCACAAGACAGAAACUGCCUCACUGUUUCCCAAUUCCUUACCUCCACCCUGAGGAGCAGAGAAGAGCUUUGGUGAUGACGGAACAGAAAGGGAAGGAGGAAGACAACUUCUACUUGACCUAGAGGUAUGCAGCAUCAAACUGCUGCUGGCUGAGAAGAGCACGGGCCCUUUGGAUUUAUGGAAGGAGCAUGGUGACCAUCUCAGUAUUAUAAACUGCCACUGAAAAUUUCCAUGACAACACAGUCGGAGGCUUUCUUGCUGGGCCCUGGCAUGUUGAUAAGUGCAAGCUUCUUUAUUCCUAUGGACUCUGAAAGAAAACAAACCUCCAAUGACAACACCUACUAGUAACUGGCUUCCUGUGAUGUUCCUUCGAUGGAGCUGGUUCCACAUAAGUCUUGAGGAUACACCCUUGUAAUGUAUUUUUAAAUUGUUGGCUAAAGGUCUAAGCUCCAAUUUAAUAGUAUCUCCUCAAUAAAGCCUU